UACCAGCACCCCGAGUGGUCGGGACGAUUAUUGGGCCUAAAGCAUCCGUAGCCGGUCAUGCAAGUCUUCCGUUAAAUCCAGCCGCUCAACGGUUGGGCUGCGGAGGAUACUACGUGGCUAGGAGGCGGGAGAGGCAAGCGGUACUCAGUGGGUAGGGGUAAAAUCCUUUGAUCCAUUGAAGACCACCAGUGGCGAAGGCGGCUUGCCAGAACGCGCUCGACGGUGAGGGGAUGAAAGCUGGGGGGAGCAAACCGG
rnacentral:rRNA from 1 species